rnacentral:rRNA from 1 species
GACAGAGGGUGCAAACGUUGCUCGGAAUUACUGGGCGUAAAGCGCGUGUAGGUGGGAUUGGUGUGUCAGAUGUGAAAUCCCUGGGCUCAACCCAGGAACUGCACCUGAAACUACCAGUCUUGAGUGGUGGAGAGGGAAGUGGAAUUCCUGGUGUAGAGGUGAAAUUCGUAGAUAUCAGGAGGAACACCAAUGGCGAAGGCAGCUCGCUGGAACGGUACUGACGCUGAGGCGCGAAAGCGUGGGGAGCGAACAGG